GCGCCCAUAGCUCAGCUGGAUAGAGCGUUGGCCUCCGGAGCCAAAGGUCAGAGGUUCGAAUCCUCUUGGGCGCGCCA
rnacentral:tRNA from 1 species